rnacentral:misc_RNA from 1 species
AUAUUUUUAUAUAAAAAAAAAUCAUGAUGUAGAGAAAGAGAAGCGGCAAAGUGGACAUGAUUUGCAAAGGGAGACCCAAUUUGCAAGGCAAGAUGAGUGGAAUAAGUGACCACAGGGAACUUGUUUAGCACUAACUUGUGCUUCAAACUCUUCCAUACAAAUGGAACACAACCCAACUGCGUUAACCAUCGGCAUCAUCUCUAAGUUAUCAUCAUCACCUUCACAAAUCAGCAAAGCCUCUGCCGCUGCGUUGAAAU